rnacentral:rRNA from 1 species
AUGACGUCAAGUCAUCAUGGCCCUUACGACCAGGGCUACACACGUGCUACAAUGGCAUAUACAAAGAGAAGCGACCUCGCGAGAGCAAGCGGACCUCAUAAAGUAUGUCGUAGUCCGGAUUGGAGUCUGCAACUCGACUCCAUGAAGUCGGAAUCGCUAGUAAUCGUAGAUCAGAAUGCUACGGUGAAUACGUUCCCGGGCCUUGUACACACCGCCCGUCACACCAUGGGAGUGGGUUGCAAAAGAAGUAGGUAGCUUAACCUUCGGGAGGGCGCUUACCACUUUGUGAUUCAUGACUGGGGUGAAGUCGUAACAAGGUAACCGUAGGGGAACCUGCGGUUGGAUCACCUCCUU